UUGAUGUUUUACAGUAAGCCAGGUGAGGAACACUGCAGUUGAUGUUUUACAGUAAGCCAGGCGAGGAACACUGCAGUUGAUGUUUUACAGUAAGCCAGGCGAGGAACACUGCAGUUGAUGUUUUACAGUAAGCCAGGUGAGGAACACUGCAGUUGAUGUUUUACAGUAAGCCAGGUGAGGAACACUGCAGUUGAUGUUUUACAGUAAGCCAGGUGAGGAACACUGCAGUUGAUGUUUUACAGUAAGCCAGGUGAGGAACACUGCAGUUGAUGUUUUACAGUAAGCCAGGUGAGGAACACUGCAGUUGAUGUUUUACAGUAAGCCAGGCGAGGAACACUGCAGUUGAUGUUUUACAGUAAGCCAGGUGAGGAACACUGCAGUUGAUGUUUUACAGUAAGCCAGGUGAGGAACACUGCAGUUGAUGUUUUACAGUAAGCCAGGUGAGGAACACUGCAGUUGAUGUUUUACAGUAAGCCAGGU